rnacentral:rRNA from 1 species
GAUGAACGCUGGCGGCGUGCCUAAUACAUGCAAGUCGAGCGAACAGACGAGGAGCUUGCUCCUCUGACGUUAGCGGCGGACGGGUGAGUAACACGUGGAUAACCUACCUAUAAGACUGGGAUAACUUCGGGAAACCGGAGCUAAUACCGGAUAAUAUAUUGAACCGCAUGGUUCAAUAGUGAAAGACGGUUUUGCUGUCACUUAUAGAUGGAUCCGCGCCGCAUUAGCUAGUUGGUAAGGUAACGGCUUACCAAGGCAACGAUGCGUAGCCGACCUGAGAGGGUGUUCGGCCACACUGGAACUUAGACACGGACCAGACUCCUACGGGAGGCAGCAGUAGGGAAUCUUCCGCAAUGGGCGAAAGCCUGACGGAGCAACGCCGCGUGAGUGAUGAAGGUCUUCGGAUCGUAAAACUCUGUUAUUAGGGAAGAACAAAUGUGUAAGUAACUAUGCACGUCUUGACGGUACCUAAUCAGAAAGCCACGGCUAACUACGUG